rnacentral:rRNA from 1 species
CAGGCCUAACACAUGCAAGUCGAACGCCCCGCAAGGGGAGUGGCAGACGGGUGAGUAACACGUGGGAACGUACCCUUUGGUUCGGAACAACCCUGGGAAACUAGGGCUAAUACCGGAUACGCGCGAGAGCGGAAAGGUUUACCGCCGAAGGAUCGGCCCGCGUCUGAUUAGCUAGUUGGUGAGGUAACGGCUCACCAAGGCGACGAUCAGUAGCUGGUCUGAGAGGAUGGUCAGCCACAUUGGGACUGAGACACGGCCCAAACUCCUACGGGAGGCAGCAGUGGGAAUAUUGGACAAUGGGCGCAAGCCUGAUCCAGCCAUGCCGCGUGAGUGAUGACGGCCUUAGGGUUGUAAAGCUCUUUCGCACGCGACGAUAAUGACGGUAGCGUGAGAAGAAGCCCCGGCUAACUUCGUGCCAGCAGCCGCGGUAAU